UCUAUGUUACUGCUGUUUGCACUGGUGAUUUCCAGAAAUGUUCUGCAAGAUAACUUUGCUAGAAUAUAACAGAAGCCCUUUGUCACUGGGAUUUCGAUUGGAAAAAUAAUUUGAAUAAUUGAUGCACUUUCUUCGUGACUGUUGGCACAUUUGAAGCCUGUAAGCAUUUGCACCUACAGUUAACCACUGCCGGGAAUAAGAAUCCUUUCUUUUCUCUUCCCUGGACAAAUAUCUCACAAGACACCAGAAGCGCAAGUCAACUACAGCAUCCCCACAAUCCAGUCAUCUUGCAAAAGCC